UAUACGGGAACAUGGUGCGAUAACCAUGGUAAUCAGAUAACCAGUGAGCUAAUAAGAUUAAACAUCCGACGUGAAAACUGUCUCUGAUUUUAUUUCCCCAUUCCAAUUAGUUCUGUUCCGGACGACUCGUUAAUUAUUGUUUUACGGGGAUUUACAAAAUAUACGAUAGACAUGCAGUUUACGAACACUGUUUUAAAAAUAGAAAACGCGCCCACAAGCGGCCGAAUGAGAGGAGACCAAUCGAGGAAGACCCUGUGAAGUUCCAUGGGUUCUGCUUCCUGUUCAGCUUCCCUUCCCGGCUCCUUGGACAGCAGACCCAAGAUGGCGAGGGGGCAGCGAGUUUCGACCCCGGGGCUGGCGGUCGCACACACACAGGUGCCAUUAUGAAGCUACUGACACGGAGAGAGAGAAAAAACCCUAAUAAAGCAAAAACCUCAACAAUGAAGCAGGCAUGUGAAAUACUAUGAGAACCAAUAGGAAUGAUGGAAAAUACUAUUAAAAUAGGUUGAAGA